rnacentral:sRNA from 1 species
UUUUUUUUUAAUUUAGGUUAGCCACCACCAAAAUUCACAUGUAAUUAAAUUAAAUCUUUACUUUCAUGAUGAUGAUUUUUACUAGCAUAUGUACAUGUAAAAAACUUGUCUUACUAGUUUAAAUAAGCUGUUAAUUAUACCCAAAUAUUCAAUAAGAAAUUUUAUGAUUAAAAAAGAUUUUUUCUUGUUAAUGAAAUACAAUUUUACAACAGUUUGUAUGAUAUAUUAGUAGGUUUUUUUUUUAUUUAAUGAAAAUAAGUAAAUGUAUUCAAUAAUAUGGCUGCCAAAGCGGUAUAGAAAGAUGAUAUAUGUACAUUAUUGUCUUUAAGCAUUUUUAAAUGGGUAAAAGUUACUAAUAUUGAAGAGAACCUGUAAGUUUUUGUUAUUUACUUCUUCAUAUGGUACAAACCUUUUUAUACUGUUCAAACAUGUACCAACAUCAGUUUUAGUGAAAAGGUUGCUUAAGAAAGGGGGUGCAUAAAAUGAACUCUGUAAACCUUCUGUGUACAUUAAUUAUGUAACGGUUACUUUACGAAAUUGAAUUCGUCUGAGUAGAUAUGUGUUAAUGACCCUAAAUAUUUGUUCUAAAUUAUAACAGUUACAUGUGCAAUAAAAUUGUUAUACACAUAC